rnacentral:rRNA from 1 species
AUGAUGCAGCAAAAAAAAAGUCAUGGCCUCGCUGUCGUAGCCGCUCCAACACCAUCCUCGGCGAUUGCAGCAGGUCAAAAAGAUGGUUCCAGCAAAAAUCCUAUGCAGCAAAAAACAUGGCACCCCGCCGUCGUGGCCGCCCAGCACUAUCCUCUCCUGUUGCAGCAAAUCGAGAAACUGAUUCCAGCAAAAAUCAAAAAAGGCAGCAACUUACCACAGCCCACCACUGUCGCCACUCACCACCAUCCUCGCCGGUUGAAGCAAAUCCCCGCGUCGGUUGCAGCAAAUCCCCAUGUCGGUUCCAGCAUCGCAUCUCACCGGUCGAACGUGUUACCUCGGACAUCGUCGCCAGUCAGAGGACGCAACAGGCUCCGCCACAGGACGGACUCUCCACGGCCUCGCAUCCAUGGGCCCGGCUCGCCGUGGCCGUGGGCGCAGAUCACCACGGUGGUGUUUGGUGGAGCAGCCAUGGAAGAGAUAUAA